UGGCGGACGGGUGAGUAACGCGUGGGUAACCUGCCCUGUACAGGGGGAGUAACAGUCAGAAAUGACUGCUAAUACCGCAUAAGACCACAGCACCGCAUGGUGCAGGGGUAAAAAACUCCGGUGGUACAGGAUGGACCCGCGUCUGAUUAGCUAGUUGGUGAGGUAACGGCUCACCAAGGCGACGAUCAGUAGCCGACCUGAGAGGGUGACCGGCCACACUGGGACUGAGACACGGCCCAGACUCCUACGGGAGGCAGCAUG
rnacentral:rRNA from 1 species